UUCUUUCUUCAAAUAUAGACAAGUGCUGUACUGCAGCAUUUCACAGAUCAACGAUGAUAAUGGACAAUACCGAAAAAUAGAGGAGCGUUUGGACCGCAUGGAAGCACAAUUCAAACAAUUUCAACAUACUCUGGAGACUGUGUUGAAAUGUGUGCGUACACGCCAAGAUAAAGGCCGAGUUACUCGAAAACCAGACUGUCUGCCUAUUUCUACCGAGAUGGAAAUAUAAACAUUUUAAACAGUGGACGACGAUAUUUAUGAAUAAGUGGUGGAUUAUCUUCAAUAUGUGGGAGGUUUUAUAGUGAAGGAAGCAAUCAACUUGGC